CUGGUGGCCAUUAUUGGUACUAAGAAUUGCAAGCUUGAUUUAUAUGUUAUGAUAGUUUUAAAUUUAUGCUGGCUCUUGAAAAUGAUAAAGCUAUGAAACUUACUGUGCUUCCUUCAAAUGAUGACUUCUACGUAUAUAAAAAAUUAUGAAGAGUUGGAAUUAAAAAUUUUAAAGAUAUAGUAAAAUUACUAUUGUAUUUUUUUAUGUUACUUAAAUCGCUAUGGCCACACCAUUUAAGGUAUCCUAAACCCAUUCGCAAUUUAACAUCUUCAGUAUAUGGCUUCAUGUUAAAACAGUUUGGUGUGAACUACUUGUGUCUUCUUGGAGGAGAAUGAAUUCAUUUACAGGCUGAGUUUAUCAUAAAUCCACAAUAACAUUUAUGAGAUCUGUAUCAAUCAGUGUUGUUGUUUGUUUAUUUUUUAUUUAUUUUUUUCAUAGGAAGAUAACUGACCCUUUACUCUCCUUUUUAAUAAAUGUGCUUAUAAACCAAGAACAAGCUAUUUAUAGCUGUAUUUAUAAACUGCUUACUACUGACUAUUAAUAUUGGGAAAAGGCUUUAUGAAGCAUGAACUGACUAUUUACUAAUGAGUGCAGUUAUUAUAAAGUGUUAUCAAUGCAUUUGCUAAUCUUAACAAAUUAGACAUUAUUUAACAGUGUUAUCAAAUCCCUUAAAUGAUUUGUAAGUGUUUUGUAAUGAUUUUAUUGACCUAAAAGCAUUUGUGAAAGUUCUGCUUGCAUUACAGCUUAGUCUUGAUCUGUGAGCUGAACAGAUUUACUGUUACAUCCAUGAGAUUAUGUAAAUUCAAAUAAAUAUCAUGUCACAGGAUGUCAGAGGUCAGUAUCAAAUUAGUUUGAAAUUAUUAUUUGCAGCACAAAUAAGGUUUUUUAGGAUUUUUAAAAAUCCCUAAAACUGUCAGAAAAGGAUAAGGCCUAAGAUUUCUAUGUGAGUGGCUAAAUUUGUUUGUUUUUAUAACUAUAAUGCAUAAACUAUGAAACUAUACAAAAUGUAUAAAAAAGUACAAGUUAUUCUUUUCCAAUGUUUUUAAUUUAUUUAAUUUUUUUUUUUUUUUUUUUUUUUUUUUUGGAUUUACAUUUUAAAAAAUUAGCCUACGGCGAUCAUUCUAAACAUCUUGAAUAAAACCUGUCAAUAUUUAUUAUAGACCACUAUAACUGUGUAUAAUCUAACAAACGAGUUUAUUAUGAAAAUAAAAGCGUGUACACCAGAUAACUUGGACGAUAAAGAAAUUGCUAACAAUAGUAUAAUAGAGCAUGUUUUAGGUUUUUAGGCGUUUAGAUGCAGAAAUGGACAAAUCAAAUGUAAAAUAAAAUGUAAUUGAUUUAAUUAAAUAUAGAUUAA